rnacentral:rRNA from 1 species
UGGGGAAUAUUGCACAAUGGGGGAAACCCUGAUGCAGCGACGCCGCGUGGAGGAAGAAGGUCUUCGGAUUGUAAACUCCUGUUGUUGAGGAAGAUAAUGACGGUACUCAACGAGGAAGUGACGGCUAACUACGUGCCAGCAGCCGCGGUAAAACGUAGGUCACAAGCGUUGUCCGGAAUUACUGGGUGUAAAGGGAGCGCAGGCGGGAAGACAAGUUGGAAGUGAAAUCUAUGGGCUCAACCCAUAAACUGCUUUCAAAACUGUUUUUCUUGAGUAGUGCAGAGGUAGGCGGAAUUCCCGGUGUAGCGGUGGAAUGCGUAGAUAUCGGGAGGAACACCAGUGGCGAAGGCGGCCUACUGGGCACCAACUGACGCUGAGGCUCGAAAGUGUGGGUAGCAAACAGGAUUAGAUACCCUGGUAGUCCACACCGUAAACGAUGAUUACUAGGUGUUGGAGGAUUGACCCCUUCAGUGCCGCAGUUAACACAAUAAGUAAUCCACCUGGGGAGUACGACCGCAAGGUUGAAACUCAAAGGAAUUGACGGGGGCCCGCACAAGCAGUGGAGUAUGUGGUUUAAUUCGACGCAACGCGAAGAACCUUACCAAGUCUUGACAUCCUGCGACGAUGCUGGAAACAGUAUUUUCCUUCGGGACGCAGAGACAGGUGGUGCAUGGUUGUCGUCAGCUCGUGUCGUGAGAUGUUGGGUUAAGUCCCGCAACGAGCGCAACCCUUACUGUCAGUUACUACGCAAGAGGACUCUGGCAGGACUGCCGUUGACAAAACGGAGGAAGGUGGGGAUGACGUCAAAUCAUCAUGCCCUUUAUGACUUGGGCUACACACGUACUACAAUGGCGUUAAACAAAGAGAAGCAAGACCGCGAGGUGGAGCAAAACUCAGAAACAACGUCCCAGUUCGGACUGCAGGCUGCAACUCGCCUGCACGAAGUCGGAAUUGCUAGUAAUCGUGGAUCAGCAUGCCACGGUGAAUACGUUCCC